rnacentral:lncRNA from 1 species
GGAGUUCCUGUCGUGGCACAGUGGAAACAAAUCUGACUAGGAACCAUGAGGUUGUGGGUUCAAUCCCUGGCCUCGCUCAGGGGGUUGCAGAUCUGGCAUUGCUGUGAGCUAUGGUAUAGGUCACAGAUGCAGCUUGGAUCUUGCGUUGCUGUGGCUCUGAUGUAGGCUGGCAGCUACAGCUUCAAUUAGACCCCUAGCCUGGGAACUUCCUUAUGCCACAGGUGCGGCCCUAAAAAGCAAAGAAAAAAAAAGAAAGAAAGAAAGAAAAAAAGAGAAUCAUUGCCUAACCCAAGGCUGAGAAGAUUUACUCAUAUUUUCUUCUUGAGUUUUAUAUAACUUGCCUUAAGCCUAGCCAAUUAAUUUUUUCUCCCUUCCUUCCUUCUUUUUUUCCUUCCUUCCUUCCCUCCCUCCCUUUUCUGAUAUUUUUAUCUUGAUUUCCAGUUUUAUUAGGUAGUGAUAAGAGAAUGUAUUAUAUUGUAUGACAACAUAAAACAAAUUGGUAUUUAAAAAUAUUCUGUUGAGAUAUAAUUGACAUAUAGUACUAGUUUCAGGUGUACAACAUAAUUUGAUAUAUGGGUACAUUGCAAAAUAAAUAUCACGACAAGUUUAGUUAAAAUUCUUUAUCACACAUAGUUAACAAUUUGAUGAGAACUUUAAAAAUUUACUCUUAGUAAUUUUCAAAUAUAUAAUAUAGUCAUAAUACUUUGUUACGUCCCCGGGAAUUAUUUAUCCUAUAACUGGAAGUUUGUACCUUUUGAUCACCUUCACCCAUUUUGCCCGUCCAUCCCCUUACCCCUCACCUUUGGUAAUCACUGUUCUCUGUGUCUGAGAGCUUGGUAUUUUUAGACUCCACACAUAGUUGAGAUUAUAUGGUAUUUUACCUUUCUCUGUAUAUUUUAUUUAGGUUAGCAUAAUGCCCUCAAGGUCCAUCUAUGUUAGUGCAAAUGGCAGGGUUUCCUUCUCUUUUUAUGGCUGAAUGUUUUUCCUUAUACAUAGAUACCACAUUUUCUUUAUCCAUUUUUCCACUGAUGGCUACUUAGGUUGUUUCUGCAUCUCGAUUAUUAUAAAUAAUGCUGCAGCAAACAUGAAAGUGCGGAUAUUUCCUUCAGAUGGCCACCCGGCGUGGAAUUGUCGGAUCAUGUGGUAUUUCUAUUUUAAAUUUUUUGAGGAAUCUUCUACUGUUUUCCCUAGUAGCUGAACAAAUGUACAUUCCCAUCAGCAAAGCGCAAAGUUUCCCUUUUCUUCAUCUCCUCACCAACAUUUAUUUCUUGCCUUUUCUUCUAAUAGUGAGACAGGUUUGUAGUUUCAAUUUGCAUUUCCCUGAUGAUUAGCGAAGUGGAGCACCUUUUUCUGUAUCUGUUGUGGAUUUGUAUGUCUUCUGUGGAAAAAUGUCUAUUCCACAUCUCAUUCUUUAGCCAUAUCCAUUUUAAUAGAUGUAAACAUCUAUUAUAUUUUUGCCUUUUGUUUUCUUAUGUCUUUCAAAGGACAAAUUUUUUAAAUUUUGAUGAAGUCUAAUUUGUUGUUUUCCUUUCUCCCUUGUGUUUUCUGUGUCCUAUCUAGAAAUAUAUAUAUAAUAUCUAUCUAUAUAUAAAUAUUUGCCUAAUUUUCUUUUUUUUUUUUCUCUUUUUUUUAGGGCUGCACCCAUGGCAUAUGGAGGUUCCCAGGCUAGGGGUCAGAUCGGAGCCUACGCCACAGCCACAGCAACGCCAGCUCUGAGCCAUGUCUGCGACCUCCACCACAGCUCACAGCAACACUGGAUCCUUAACCCACCGAGCAAGGCCAGGAAUCAGUUCUGCGUCCUUGUGGAUGCUAGUCAGAUUCGUUAACCACUGAGCCAUGACAGGAAUUCCUAUGGUUAUUUUUGAUCUAUAUUAUUCUUCAUAGAUAAUAUUUCUAGUUUAAAAAUAACUCCAUAUCUUAUUUCACAUACUUCUUCUUUAUCUUAUUAAGUAUUUCUAUCAUCCUUCUUUUACAUUCUUGUUCUGCCUAGUCAUAUUUCUGCUUCAAGUGGCACAUGUUGCCUAGUUUGUUGAUCUUCUUUUCAGAUAGUUUUUUUUUUUUUUUCAGAUGUCUAGUUAGUUUUGCCUGGUGAGUUUAUAUUCACCCAAGGGUUACCCACUACUCUGUCUUGGAAUGUGUAUUGAGUUAGAGCCCAAGGCUAGAGUCUAGUCUGAGUUAGUCCCAGUAAGUUCAUGGUCAGGGGAGAGGUGGGGCUCUAGGAUGGAGAGUCUUCAGCUUCCAUUAAACACUCCUGUUACCCCCCAGGUGUCUCCCUUGCUCAGGGUUUUAGAGGUUGGCCUUUAGUCUCAAUGCUGGGGAGGAAACCUCCUACUGGGUUAUCACGUACCAGCCUUGGGCAGAGUGAGCGAAUGCCUGAGGCUAGUCAAGCCUCACCUGCUUUCCCAGAUCUUUCCCCAAGCAGGGCUUGUACCCUGAUCUUACUCCAUGGACACCUGUACUGGAGUCUGAGAUAUUCCUGCCCCUGGUGAAGGAGCAGGAAGUGACUAUCUCAGGUUAUAUGAAGGGGGAAGAAGGAGCAGAUUUUAAAUAACUCCUCUCUAAUCUUCACCAUUUUUCACCCAGAAGAACAGACAUCUCAUGUGGUGCAAUUGAUACACACAGAUGUGGUUGUUUUUGUUUGUGGCAGUGGUAAUAAAAAUGGGAUUCUAACUAUAUCUAGUCACUUGCGAUGGAAAAUGAUGGAGGAUAAUGUGAGAAAAAGUGUGUGUGUGUGUAUAUGUGUGUGUACAGCAAAAAUUGACAGAACAAUGUAAAACAACCAUAAUAGAAAAAAUAAAAACCUAAAAAAUAUGGGAUUCUCCUCUAUACAUUACUCUGUAUCUAACUCUCUUUGGUUUAACCAGUACAUCAUGGAUAACAAUUACGAUUUAUGUAAUUUUCUUUUUUGGCCACACUCACAGCAUAUGGACAUGUCCACACAGCAGCUGUGACCUCUGCCACAGCUAUGGCAAUGCCAGAUCCUUAAUCCACUCCACCAGGCCUGGGAUCAAACCUGUGCCACCACAGAGUCGCUAGAUUCCUAACCUGCUGUGCCACAGAAGGAUCUCCUGAUUUAUGUCUUUUUUUAAUAGCUCUUUAAAAUCCUAAAUAGGAGUUCUUGUCAUGGCUCAGUGGAAACGAAUCUGACUAGCAUCCAUAAGAAUGCAGGUUGGAUCCCUGGCCUUGCUCAGUGGGUUAAGGAUCUGGUGUUGCCAUGAGCUAUGUUGCAGGUCGCAGACACAACUUAGAUCCUGCAUUGCUGUGGCUGUGGUGUAGGCCAGCAGCUACAGCUCCGAUUUCUAGCCUGGGAACUUCCGUAUGCUGCAGGUGCGGCC